rnacentral:rRNA from 1 species
GAUGAACGCUGGCGGCGUGCCUAAUACAUGCAAGUAGAACGCUGAAGCUUGGUGCUUGCACCGAGCGGAUGAGUUGCGAACGGGUGAGUAACGCGUAGGUAACCUGCCUGGUAGCGGGGGAUAACUAUUGGAAACGAUAGCUAAUACCGCAUAACAGUAGAUAUUGCAUGAUAUCUGCUUGAAAGGUGCAAUUGCAUCACUACCAGAUGGACCUGCGUUGUAUUAGCUAGUUGGUGAGGUAACGGCUCACCAAGGCGACGAUACAUAGCCGACCUGAGAGGGUGAUCGGCCACACUGGGACUGAGACACGGCCCAGACUCCUACGGGAGGCAGCAGUAGGGAAUCUUCGGCAAUGGGCGGAAGUCUGACCGAGCAACGCCGCGUGAGUGAAGAAGGUUUUCGGAUCGUAAAGCUCUGUUGUAAGAGAAGAACGAGUGUGAGAGUGGAAAGUUCACACUGUGACGGUAUCUUACCAGAAAGGGACGGCUAACUACGUGCCAGCAGCCGCGGUAAUACGUAGGUCCCGAGCGUUAUCCGGAUUUAUUGGGCGUAAAGCGAGCGCAGGCGGUUAGAUAAGUCUGAAGUUAAAGGCUGUGGCUUAACCAUAGUACGCUUUGGAAACUGUUUAACUUGAGUGCAAGAGGGGAGAGUGGAAUUCCAUGUGUAGCGGUGAAAUGCGUAGAUAUAUGGAGGAACACCGGUGGCGAAAGCGGCUCUCUGGCUUGUAACUGACGCUGAGGCUCGAAAGCGUGGGGAGCAAACAGG